UAUUAUUGCAUUUGUGUUGAAAAAUUAACAUAGCUUAAAGACUUUUUCUCAGAUCGCACGCCUACUCAGAAAAAAUGGGAAAAUGUGGAACAAUCGAACAAAGAUAGUGACGAUGAUCACUCAAUUCAUGGCUCUAAUCCUUCUCCAUCCACGAGGGAUCGAUGAAACAUUUGUGGUAUCUUCUCUAGAUUGCUUAAUCCAUGUCAAAUUUGGAUGAAACAAUUUGGUAUCUUCUCCAGAUCACUCAAACCAUCCACUCGCGACAAAUCUCCAUAUCAAUAUGCAAAUGCCCUAAUAACAGUCAAGGAAAUGAAGAACAAUCUACGACGCCUAACCCAUACCAGCCAUAACUCUCCCUUUAAGCCACUCAAGUUAGCACGCCGAUGCCAACAAGAGGAAAACAACCAUUUGCCAACGCCUAGGCCAACAUUUUCAGUUUCCGUUGCAAAAGAGCAAUAAAGAGUCAUUGUUCUAUCGUUGAGAACUAUGCCAUUUGCAUUCAUGUCCUCGUGCAACUUUUCAGCUGUUUUCCAAUCUAGAGCCUUGAAGCAAAGAGAUUUUAUCAGUCAUGAGCUGGGAUUGGACAUCGAAUCACUACAUAUGGCAGAUUUGUGAAUCUUUGGAGUUACAUUUAAUGAGGGAUUCUCUGCUGCUAUCAUCAUAAUCAUACUUCUUGGUCAACUUGGGAGGCUUGGAGUUGGUGCUGGCGGAUAUGAGGAUCCUGGUGUUAAGAAAUUAAGAGGCUGGUUCUCAAAAGUUUGUUCAUGUCCAGUUUGCGCUUAUAACUUCUUUGCUUGGUCUUACUCCUAUCAAAUUUCAAGAGGUCGCGGAAGGUAAAAUCGAAAUUCCAGCAGUUAUGAGUCAGUCCAUCCUGUGCUGCCUCAUUUCGCCUAACAGAUUGACAGCCUUGUCAAAUUUCACCAAACGCCCCUAGCUGCUCGAUUAAUUUGUUAUAGCUUCAGCAGUUAUACAAUCAAAAGAACCACUUUCUUAAUAUGCAAUCAGUUUCAGUUCAUCUCAUUUUUUAUUUUUAUUUUUUGUGUUAAAUCUUGAGUUUUGUUUAUGAGUGCCUAGACUCAUAUGUUUGAUAGCCAUGUUUUAGUCCAACACACCAUAUAACAGGGUUGGUUUUAUGUUAAUAAAUUUUUAUUAUUUAUUU